CACGCAUUCUAUAGUUAUUUUGCACGGUAAUAAAAGCAUCAAAAAAGAAAUACAUACAUUUUUAUUAUCAAGAAUAAGCUUAAAACAUUUCUCUUUUCAAAGUUGUUGGCUCUUAAUAAGGUUAAUUCAAGGGCAAAAGUCAUAGCCGUUAACGUCAUGUCAUGGUUAUGAUGAUGGUUCUGGAGGCCUCCAGGUUGAUGUAUAUGAUAAUCUAUAAUGAAUCAUUAUAAUAACUAUCCAUGGGGCUAUUACUUUCUUGGUUGCCCAUCCACCUUUCUUGUUUCAAAAAUUGAAAU
rnacentral:lncRNA from 1 species